rnacentral:sRNA from 1 species
UUUUUGAAUUCUGAUGGGUUUACAUUCUCUGUUGUUAAUGCUCUAUUUGACUUAUACAGAAAAGAGAAGCUCUUCUCAGAGACGUGGCUGAAGUUGAUUGUACCACUACUUAAAAAACCUUGUAAAAGUACGAUGGAAGCGUGUACAAUGAUAUUGGAGACAAUCAGAAAGAUACAUUGGGAGGAACACACUGACAUCAUUGACACUUUAAUCGAUAUUUUACAGUCACUGCAGCCACCAGACUCUGUUGAAGACUUGGAUGGAACAGAAUUUGAGAAAUACAUUGAUUUUCUGAAUAGUGUAACAGACACUAUUUUUGAUAG